UUCGCACAUGGAGGAACCAUGUUGAAUUUUCAACGAAAAUUUUAACCCUUUUGCAUGGCAAUUUUUUUCAGCCAAAAUUGUUUUUUCGAUUUUUAACCUGAUAUUUGGUGGGUUUGCUUAGAAUGAUCUAAAAACAAAAUUAAACCACUUUUUCGAUAUAAAAAAAAAUAUUUAGACCUCAAAAUCUGCUAAAAUACGCAAAUUUCCCAUAGUUGGCGAACUUUGCCGAGCACUCCAGCACCUAUAAUGGACUCAGACAUCAAAAGAUUACUUGUAUUGCAAAGCUGGAACCCUCAGCUUUCAAAUGAUACCAAACACUUCACCUUUUGAUAAAAAAUGUAUGACCUAUGAUGUGAAACAUGUGGUGCGACCCUAUUUCAAGCAAAUUUCGAAAUAUUUGGGAGGAAACAAGCUUAUAGU